rnacentral:lncRNA from 1 species
GUUUCUAACGUAGAGUACAGAUUCCCUGGGAAUUUGUAAAAUCCCUACAAACUGUUAGGAAACCGCACAUUGCUCAUCGUCCCUGAGUGUACAGUCCCGUCUCAUCCACUGGCAUUCUGGGAGUCAUGGUUUGACUCCCUCCGUUGUGUGGUCACAGGAUCCCCGCCGCCGCAUUUGUCACCAACACCAGCAUUUCAGAAUAGUUCUAACUCUCUAGACAUGUCAAACAUGUGACUACCCAGGACUUUCUUUUGAAAGUUGCAUUCCUUAUUGGGCUUGGGUCAGGGGACCUCUCUGGCCCAGCUUCCCUCUGCUUUUCUUGUCCCAUCCCACCCUAGAGAGCAGAGACGGGUAAGGCAGUCCCGUGUUUAGAAUGAGUUAGAUCGGCAUGUCAUUCCAUAAGUCACGUUAAUACUUGAGUUUUGUGUGUUUGUAUCUUUUAAAUACUCUGUAGGAAACAUCAUUCCAUUUACUGGAUGGCUGCUGCUCUGGCCUUUUAGGAUGGGAUUAUCUUUUCUUUAGAGCCAAGGGAGAAGUCUGUAAGAGGCUAAAAUCCUGCUGCUGUCACUGCUGUGAAAUUGUGAAAGACUAGAUUCAUGGCAGUCUUUGUAAUUAAACCACAUAGCUGCAUUUUUAAGGGUAUCUAUUUAGAAGUAAAGUUUUAAGAACACAUUCCUAUUUGGAGAUAGUCUUCAAGGUUUGAUUUCCACAUUGACCAGCGGGGUACAGUGAAGUUCAAAGCAGAUAUCUGGAAACACCAAUACAUGCAAAGGCCUGUGGGAGCGUAGGCGUCUGCAUUAAACGCACAGACCUGACUGUCAGAGUGUCCAGAACCUCGAUGGGUGCUUCUGCCUGGCAUGCAGAAUGCAGGUGUGUGGAACGUUGGCAGACACUAUUUUUUUUUAGCCCUGGUCAUCUUUUUUGUCAAGGUGGCAACUCAUUGCCUCUUGAAGACCAUACCAGCCCGAAACACUGUCCUUAGCAGCGCAGCUCGGGGACAGAGGCCAUCACCACAGGCAGUGAGACAAGGAGCUUCAGUGACUUCAGGCCUCACCUGAAGAGAAGUGCUACAAGGUCUAGGCCACUCUCCAUAUUUGUGAAUUCGUUUGUCACAGAUACUGUUUACUCCCGAAACUAAAGUCUCUUUUAUAAAUGCUAAGGUUGAUCCCUUAGAACAAUUUCUUUAUCAAUAACACCCUUUGGGUUUAGAAAGGCCAGAAGAAUAUUUUAAAGAUAGAAUGAUAAUUCAGAUUAUUGGUGUAAGUAUGAAAACGCACUUUAGACGAAGUCUAGAGUUUCCUACCGUACGCAGCACCAGCCUUAGCUUCGGAUUCAGCUGUUCCAACAGCCGUGCCCACGCGCUUCUCUAACACCGUGGGGAGGCAGGAGUCGGAUGGCAAAUCACUGUGAGCCAGGUUACCUCAGUGUCGUCCGCCUCUGCGUGACUUCACAAACACAGGAACUGAAUGUUAUUUUCACGUGUUGGUGGGAGCAGCAUGGUCACGGAAGUGGAGCUGCCUUACACAUUAAACAUAAUCUCACCCCACUGGAAGUUUUGCAGCCACGUCUCCAGAUCUUAUCUCUUGGGCGAAGUUCCACAUUUUUUUCUCUUUUUUUUUGGUUAGAAAGUAGUCGUUCCUAGAUAGCAGUCUGGGAGCUCAGCUAAACGCUCCGGGGGCAUCAUGUUCUUACUAAUAAAUCUAAUCUGAGCCUUAUUUCUUACUGGAUUCAGUUUCUUUUAAAACAUACAUCCACGUAUUUUAAAUGCUGUUUGGAGAAGUCCCUGGGACAGUCCCGAGGGCAGGGCCUGCACAUUUCUUACAGCGGUAAAACAGUUUUUAAAAUGUAGGGUCAGGUUUAAAAAACAAACCCCAAGACUCAUCCUGUGCAGAGGAGGGACCUGGAAGGUGAACAGGUAGGAGAGCCGGCUGUAGGUUUGGAAGCAGCAGUGAAUUCGAGAGAAGGAUCCCGUAAAGUCCAUUUCUCUGUUCCAGCCCUGUUGGUCACCCAUUCAGUAAGUUGGCAAAUUUGUCACCCGAGCAGAGAGUGCAAGAAAGUAAUAGAGAAAGCUGAAGUGUGUCAGAAAGUUACUUCCAAAUGGUUAGAGGCAUGUGAUCGUCAGUACCGUGUGUUAUGGAAAUGUCAAGAAUGAUGUAUUUUAAUGUGUGCAAGAUAAAGUUGGUGUGCACAGAGGGUCUUUUCCUUAUCUGAUUGAUUAGUACUGUUAAUGUUCAGAGGUUUAAAAAAAUGAUUGUUUUUACAGUUUAGAUUCUGAGAUAGCAAAACCUGAUUUUUCAACCAUGACCUGCAUGAGAGAAGCAUCCUAGGAAGUCUUAGAUCAUACCUUUGAGUUCUUUAAUUUAUAUAGUGUUUUUUUUAUGUUUUAAUAUUUUUGUGAACUGGUGUAAAAUUGUUAAUGCAUAUAUAAGCUUGUGUAUUUUUGUAAAUAGUUUUGUGAUUUACUUCUUGCCCCCUGUGUAAAUAUUUACAGUCUCAUUUCUUCC